rnacentral:snRNA from 1 species
AUCGCUUCUCGGCCUUUUGGCUAAGAUCAAGUGUAGAGUCUGUUCUUAUCAGCUUAAUAUCUGAUAUGGGCCUAAUUGGUCAAGAUAUUAAACUUAUUUUUGUAAGUGGCGUCCCUACGAAGCUUGCUUCGAGGGCGCUAGGGUCGACCUGGUAUUUCACUACCUCCGGGAGUGGCCCGUCCCCU